GAUCCCAUAGCUCAGUUGGACAGAGCGGUGGUUUCCUAAACCACAGGUCGCAGGUUCGAUUCCUGCUGGGAUCA
rnacentral:tRNA from 1 species